GGUGAACGCUGGCGGCGUGCUUAAGACAUGCAAGUCGAACGGGCUCUUCGGAGCCAGUGGCGCACGGGUGAGUAACGCGUAACUGACCUACCCCAAAGUCGCGGAUAACGAUUCGAAAGAAUCGCUAAUACGUGAUGUGCUGUCAGAUCCUGUUCUGCCAGUAAAGAUUUAUUGCUUUGGGAUGGGGUUGCGUUCCAUCAGCUAGUUGGUGUGGUAAAGGCCCACUAAGGCGACGACGGAUCGCCGGCCUGAGAGGGUGGCCGGCCACAGGGGCACUGAGACACGGGUCCCACUCCUACGGGAGGCAGCAGUUAGGAAUCUUCCACAAUGGGCGAAAGCCUGAUGGAGCGACGCAGCGUGAGGGAUGAAGGUCUUCGGAUCGUAAACCUCUGAAUCAGGGACGAAAGACGCGAAAGCGGGAUGACGGUACCUGAGUAAUAGCACCGGCUAACUCCGUG
rnacentral:rRNA from 1 species